GUUAUUGUUUGCAUUCCAAACUGGCAACUUUCAAGUCCCGAGCUGUGACCUACUGACAUACUCUUGCAGAUAUAUUUAGAACGACCUGGUAACCAUCAAAGUAUUCAUUGGUCAUUAGUAUCGUUUUCAUUUUACAAAACUUUCAGAAUCCUUUGGAAUCAGCUAGCAACGGAAUUUAUGAAUCAAACUAUUUUAAAAUCUGCUACCAACGGAGUUUAUAAAUCAAACUAUUUUAAAAUCUGUAACUAACGGAGUUUAUGAAUCAAACUAUUUUAAAAUCUGCUACCAACGGAGUUUAUAAAUCAAACUAUUUUAAAAUCUGUAACUAACGGAGUUUAUGAAUCAAACUAUUUUAAAAUCGGCUACCAACGGAGUUUAUGAAUCAAACAAUUUAAAAAUCUGCUACCAACGGAGUUUAUGAAUCAUAUUUUAAAAUCUGCUACCAAUGGAUUUUAUUAACCAAAAUAUUUUAAAAUCUGCUACCAGCGGAGUUUAUGAAUCAAAAUAUUUUAAAAUCUGCUACCAACGGAGUUUAUGAAUCCACAUACUGUUCUAUCUUCCACCAACAGUGUUUUGAAGUCUCGGUGUUUCAGAAAUCAUGUACUCACAAAUCUUUGAAACACGGAAAUGAUGUCAAAGCAAUACUUCUUCCAUUCAGAUCUGCAUCUAACCUAUCAUCGGCUGGAUAAUGUCAUGAAAUAGUGGCAAGCUGUUAACUAGUGUGUGGGAUUUUCAGUUGGAUUAUCUCCUUGCUGUACACUUUGUGCUAUGUAGUGACCAACAGCUUUCAUUCUUCGUGCGAUUGAAAGAUUUCAUCUGAAAACAGCAUACGUCUAGAGAUUCUCGUUGAAAGCCAAGGUACAAUAAAUAUAUAUGUGCAAAACUUCAAGUUAAUCCAAGAUUGGGCUGUUGGAGAAAUAGCGUGUAGAAACAUUGUACCAGACAGACAAGAGUGUGUUGAUGUAAGUUUUGUUCAAAAGACUUACAAGACUCUGUCAGAGGUCACGUCUACUUAAUAGUACUUGCAUACGAAUUGAAUGAGAUGAAAUCUUUAUUGGAACAUAUGUGGAGAUACUACUUCCGUCACCGACAUGGAGAAUAAAAAAAAUAAUGAAAAUCUCUCAAUUCUGCGUUAGCUGAUUCCAUUUCUUAAUCUCUUUUAACUAGAUGACAUAAACGAUGUUUCAAUAUCGCCUGUAUGUGUGUUUAUAUAGUGGUGUCUGUGUUUAAUGGCUAUUGCUUUCUUUAUUGACAUUUAAUCCUUUAUUUCAGGAGACCUUGAACAAAUUUGGAAAUAUGUUUUCUUUUUUUCAUUUUUUGCUUUUAAUCUUUUAAAACAAACACACACGCACAUCAAGAAGAUUAUAGCGCGUGAUGUUCAUGCUGCACGUGCAGUCUCUUGGAAGCAGACGUGUUUGAUAACUUCCGGUUUUUGAAGAAAUGGAAAAAGUAACAAUGGCAUUACAGAAUGCGGUAGGUUUCGGAAAAAUCUUCUAAUAGUCAAUUCAAGGGAGACUUUAAAUUCUCUAAAAGUCUUCAUGAAGUGGGGGUCUCGAAUUUUCGGACCUCAAUUCUGAUAAAAGUCUCAGAGUGCAAGGUUGUUGGUUAUUUCAUGAAUACAUUUUGAAGUCAAGACAAGAUGUUUGGCUUUUCUUCUUUUGACAAGACAUACGUCCGUGCAUUAGGCCAUUUAUUUCGGUAUGAUAGAAAACACUCAAAUAAUACAAUGCCCAUUCAUAAAUAUAUUAAAGACUUAGUCACUUGGGUAUAAUCAAUAUUUAUACUUCAAACGCAAAGCCACUGACAUAGAGGUUUCAAGAUCUUUUUUUGUUAAGCCUAGACAAAACAUUGUCUUUGGCGGGAUAAUCUAUUUAGCAGAAGAAAUAAAUCACUUGGUAUCCACUCAGUCACCUGUCCUUCUGUUGGUCUCUUGAGUUAAAUGGUAUGAUUCACUUACAUUUUCAGUCGUUGCCUUCAUUAGAUCUUUACAAAAGUGGCUUAUCUACGCUUAUUAAAGGAUAGCGUAUCUUGUCCAUUUAAAUUAUAAAAUGUGCGUUUUAAGCAUAGUCUGAAUUUUUACAUGAAUUAAUUAUAUUCACUGUUGGGUGAUAUUUAUUCCAUGAGGGAAUUAUGUAGGUAUUAAUGAAAAAUAAAAAAAAAAAAAAAAUAAUAAACAUAGUACUGGUACAAACAAACUUUUUUUUAUUUCCUGUUUUUUUUUUUCCUCAACAAAAAAUUGGUUAUUGAUGUCUCAAAUAUUUCAAUCAAUUCCAACUUUCUGAAUUUGGAUCAGCCUCUAAAUAUUACUUUAAAAAUCGUCUUUCGGGUCAGAGAAUGUAGAUCUAUUU